rnacentral:lncRNA from 1 species
GGCAUCGAGCGACUUGUGAGCCGCACCCCACGCGAUGGAUGGAAACUGCCAUCAUGUAGAUGUGAAGUAAUUACUGAGCUCUGAAGAGAGUGUUUGAGGCUGGCUACUCUCCUCAAGAGAAAAAAGGAUAAAGAGAAUGAUUCUCCUAGAAGAAAAUGUAAUUUGAAAGAUACCAGGGACACUGGGCUCUAUUCUGCAUAAGCUGUAGCAGGAUAAAGUUUCAUAAGUUGCUUGUCUCCAGGAGCAGUGCUUUUUAACUGAGUGAUUUGCUCAGUGCUGUGCAUAAUCCUGCAAGACUUAAGGAAAACACCCUGGCAGGAUGGAGUGCCAUAAAGCUGGAGAAGAACCAGAGAAAAGCUGUAUUUGUUACAGCUAAAAGAAGCCUUCAGGAGCUCCCCUACAGCUUUCCUUUGAUUAUAGGAUACAUUUCAAGUGCAAU